rnacentral:rRNA from 1 species
AACGCGAAGAACCUUACCUGGACUCGAAAUGCAGUCGACUGCCUCAGAGAUGAGGUUUUCCCGCAAGGGACGGCUGUAUAGGUGCUGCAUGGCUGUCGUCAGCUCGUGUCGUGAGAUGUUGGGUUAAGUCCCGCAACGAGCGCAACCCUUAUCCCUAGUUGCCACCGGGUCAAGCCGGGCACUCUAGUGAAACUGCCUCGGAUAACGAGGAGGAAGGUGGGGAUGACGUCAAGUCCUCAUGGCCUUUAUGUCCAGGGCUACACACGUGCUACAAUGGUCGGUACAAACCGUCGCAAACCCGUGAGGGGGAGCUAAUCGGAAAAAGCCGGCCUCAGUUCGGAUUGGAGUCUGCAACUCGACUCCAUGAAGUUGGAAUCGCUAGUAAUCGCGGAUCAGCUACGCCGCGGUGAAUGCGUUCCCGGGCCUUGUACACACCGACAUA